UUCAAGAUCAAGCAUCAUGAUGACAAUUCUCAUUGCCCCGUCCUCGUUUGUCACCACUUACCGGCCACUUGAUUGGUGGCAGGCACUGGGCUACACAUCUUACAAGAUCUGCGAAAUCCUGGUGAAAACCAGCAUUCAAGGAAAGAAUUUAACAGUGAUCAGUAUGCAAGCCAGAAGAGGCAGAAUUUCCAGCCUCCUGUCCCUCAUCUGAGAAAUGCAGAGACCAAUAAUAACUACCACAUGCAAAGGCUUUCAUGACCGACCGCCAGGAGAGUUCUCAGCUCAGUACUUGGCACAGCACCCGCAGUCAAUAAGUAAUAGAAAACAUUUAAUAAAUACC